AGGUUUUGAGCAAAAGGAGUAAGUUUUGGAGUUUGAAGCUUUUGGAAGUGUUUUCUCCACGUUUUGAAGUUGAGGUCACACCAACUCAAGAGGUAAGGGUUGAUCUCUAUGUUUUAUGGUAUUUUAAGCAUGUUUUAUGGAAAGUUUUAAGGGUUUUAUGGGUUGGAAGUGUUAGAUAUGCAUGGGUGUGCAUGGGAGGGUUUCAUGGACCCUUUGUGCACUAUAUGUUUAUGUGUUGAUGUUGUUAGAGUUUAAGGGUGUUUUAGGACCCUUUAGGUAUGAUUAGAGGUUAUAUGCAAGUGAAGUGUGUUAGGAUGGGUUUGAGGAGAUGUGUUGGUGCAUGAACUGGGUUCUGGAAGAACUCAGGUUCGGCCGCCGAAGUGAGUUUCGGCCGCCGAAUGCCUUGUGGAGGUGGCUUUGGCUGCCGAAGGCUGCUUCCGGAAGGUGGACUUUCGGAUCUGUCAUGCACAUUCGGCCGCCGAAGGUGCCGCCGAAGGUUGAGUUUCGUCUCUGGACGAGACUUUCGGAUGCCGAAGGUGCACCCGAAGGAGAGAUAAUAGGACUUUCGGCCGCCGAAAGUAGAGGUUCGGCCGCCGAAAGUAGGCGAGUUUCGUCUCUGGAAGAGACUUUCGGCCGCCGAAAGUGCCGCCGAAGGUACUCUGUUUUGCCUUCCUUUGCAUGAUUUUUCAUGCAUGUUUAUGAGGCUAUAGAGGGGUUUUGGGAAGGUGUAUUAGAGUUAUGCUAGAGAUGUUUAGCACCUCAUGAGAGUCCUUUGAUGUAGGAUUUGAUCAGAGAAGAGGUGCUUAGCUCCAGUACAGAGUUGGCCAAGUUAGUGGAGCAGAGGUGACAGGUGAGUGGGACUAACUAUGCAUGUUUUAAAUUAAAGAAUGUUUCAGCAUGAUUCAUGCAUCAUAAUUGCCAUGUUAAUGCUAGGAUGGUUAAUACUAAAAGAUAAUAAUGUGACGAACAUGAGACAUGCAUCAUAAAUGCCAUGAGAUAAUGUUGCACUAGAACCAUGAAGAUGCUGCAUUGCAUAACUGGAUAAGUAUGCGGAUGAAUGUUGAAUAACCCUUUAGCCCUCAUUUUGACAUGAAAAGUCGAGAAAAGAGUACGGGAAGAGUCAAGCAUAAAGAGUAUGAACAGGGAGGCCUAACCGCCCCUAUUAUUGAGUCAGUAUAGUCAGGAGGCCUAAUCGCCCUGACAAAACGUUUUCAGGAAAGC
rnacentral:lncRNA from 1 species